AUUGGACAAUGGGGCGCAAGCCUGAUCCAGCAAUACCGCGUGUGUGAAGAAGGCCUUAGGGUUGUAAAGCACUUUCAAUUGGGAAGGAAAACCUGUCGGUCAAUACCCGGCAGCUUGACAUUACCUUUAGAAGAAGCACCGGCUAACUCCGUGCCAGCAGCCGCGGUAAUACGGAGGGUGCAAGCGUUAAUCGGAAUUACUGGGCGUAAAGCGUGCGUAGGCGGUUCGUUAAGUCAGAUGUGAAAGCCCCGGGCUUAACCUGGGAACUGCAUUUGAAACUGGCGGACUUGAGUUGAGUAGAGGGGAGUGGAAUUUCAGGUGUAGCGGUGAAAUGCGUAGAUAUCUGAAGGAACACCAGUGGCGAAGGCGACUCCCUGGACUCAAACUGACGCUGAGGUACGAAAGCGUGGGUAGCAAACAGGAUUAGAUACCCUGGUAGUCCACGCUGUAAACGAUGUCAACUAGCCGUUGGUCCUAUUUACAGGAUUAGUGGCGCAGCUAACGCAUUAAGUUGACCGCCUGGGGAG
rnacentral:rRNA from 1 species